rnacentral:rRNA from 1 species
AGUGAACGCUGGCGGUAGGCCUAACACAUGCAAGUCGAACGGCAGCACAGUAAGAGCUUGCUCUUACGGGUGGCGAGUGGCGGACGGGUGAGGAAUACAUCGGAAUCUACUUUUUCGUGGGGGAUAACGUAGGGAGACUUACGCUAAUACCGCAUACGACCUACGGGUGAAAGCAGGGGAUCCUCGGACCUUGCGCGAUUGAAUGAGCCGAUGUCGGAUUAGCUAGUUGGCGGGGUAAAGGCCCACCAAGGCGACGAUCCGUAGCUGGUCUGAGAGGAUGAUCAGCCACACUGGAACUGAGACACGGCCCAGACUCCUACGGGAGGCAGCAGUGGGGAAUAUUGGACAAUGGGCGCAAGCCUGAUCCAGCCAUACCGCGUGGGUGAAGAAGGCCUUCGGGUUGUAAAGACCUUUUGUUGGGAAAGAAAAGCAGCAGGUUAAUACCCCGCUGUUCUGACGGUACCCAAAGAAUAAGCACCGGCUAACUUCGUG